AUCGAAAUUGUGUAUUAUUUCCUUCCAGAAUAAAACAAAUAUACCUAUUAAAGAAACAGUGAUACUUCAAAUUUCACCAAAUUCAAAAGUCAACAACAAAAAUGUAUGUAGAACAGGCAUGGUGUCCUUUUGGGGAAGUCUGUUCAGGGAAGGAACAAGUCCUUUUUGCUUGUUGGAAUAUAAACCUCAACAACAGCCUUCACUCUCUAGUAUAAAAGAAAUUGAUAAGCUAUAUUGUUAGGAUUGGGUUGAGUCAGUUGCAAGCACUCACUCAGGUUGUGAAGAUUGCCUAUCUCUUCCGGGAUUUUUCCUUGAAGUAAAUUGGCAGAUAUUUCUUAAGUCUCCAACCUUGAGGCAUUUGAGAUUGACGGAGGAAUGGAACCAGUGAAACUGUUAUUCCUAAUAUUUAGAACUUGCAGUUGGUGUAAAAACCCAAACCAACAAGGAACGUCCCCUCUAAAGUUGUUGAAACUUAAAUCAAGAAAAUUAAGCGAAUGCAAACGUGCCAUUUCUUGAGGUAAAUUUCCAUGGAAAUUGUUGCUUCCCAAGUCAAGAGUAAUAAGAAAUGUGAGGUUUCCAAAAUCACAGGGGAUCCUGCCUGUAAGAGCCAAGUUGGAAUGCUUCAAGGACUUCACUCGCUGGUGAUGAGAACUACAAGUGACUCCAAUCCAAUGGCAAACAGAAGUAGCAGGAGACCAACUUUCAUUCAACAAGUGAAAGGGGUUGGAACUAAUUUGGGAUUUCAAAGAGAGAAGAGCUAAUUGAUCCGUAGAAACGUUGGUACGAGCUAUCAUGGCUGAAUUAGCCAUAACAUAGUGAAGCAACAAGAGUAGUGUUAAGAGACAAGAGCUCAAGGCUUUCUCCAUAUGUAAAAAUAUUAGUAUGACUAAUAACAUGUGUUUAGAAUACUUUUCUUUCGAAUCUAUUUUAAGGGAAAAGGAAAAACUACUUUUCUUCAUUCAUUCCAUCAUUUCAGUAUUAGUGCAAGUAAAUAAUUGUUUCAAUGAAACAAAAAAAAUGUGUCUUUUUGUUUGUUGUCAGUUUGAUAUUGAAACCACUCAUUUUAGAUAAGGAGGAAGUAGACAAAAAAGAGUGUGAGUCUUGCUUUCAUUUUCUCCUGUACUAACAGUCCUACUUUAGUGGUCCAUAUUCAUAAUUCCCCCAAAACGUAAUUACUCAAUCAUUACAUGUUGAAACGGCUGAACAUUAGUCUUUUCAAAAAAAAUAAUUCUCCUUAAAGAUUGGUAAAAAGGUUCAAGGUUGGAAAGGGAGAAGGACUAUCCUUAUAAAUCAUGUAUUAUAGAGUAUUCCUAUUCACUUGUUGUCAUCUCUUAAUCCUCCGAAAAGCAUUUUUGUUAAGUUUUUCUGGAAGAAUACCGUUGAGAAUAAAAGCAGACAUUGGGUAAGCUGGGAAACUUUAUGUCUUCCCCAAGUAGAAGGAGGAGUUGGGUUUGGGUCCAUUUUUGAUGUUUCUAAUGCAUGGAAAGAUCAUGAGGAUAGACUUUUUCAAAAAAUUGUGGAGUAAAAAGCUGCCAUUUAAACAGUCUGUUUUUUCUUAUGGAGAAUGUGGAAAUUCAGGGUGCCUGUUGAUGAAGUGGUGCAAAGCAUGGGGAUUAAUAUUGCAUCAAGAUGCUGGUGUUGCAUACAUCCUAAAUCUAAGACUAUAUGUCUCACCCUUUUCUUACCUCAGCAUACAGCUGCAAAGCUGCGGAGAAUGUUUGCUAAUGUUGCAGGUAUUCAGAUUGAAGGAUUGCAGUUAUCACUGUUACAGAAGGAAUUAGGUAAGUGUUUGUGGAAACAGACUCACAAGUGCCAAUCAAAUUUCCCCCAAGGGUAUGGGAAGUGCCUUGGAAUUUAGCAGUGAUAAUUGGUGACAGUCCAGGGUACUCCACUGAGUCACAAGAGUGAAACUAAGGUCAACAGACAAUAUGAAGUUGAAAGGAAUCCAAUUAAGUAAUUGAGGAGUAUGAAAGAGUUUUUACCAUCAAAUCUUCAAGACUACAUUAUAUAAACAUAUCUAAUAUUAAUCAUUCAACAUAUGCUUCUGUCGUUAAGUGCGUACAGAAGUGCCAUUGAAUUUUCAGGUACAUUCUCAUUAAGUCUAGAUUUGUCGUAGGUAAAGCCGUCCAGUACUACAUCCGUAAGCCUUCCAUCUAUUGCAUUCGUUCGUCGGAGAAUCCUUAUGUUCACUCCCAUCAGGGGAAUUUGCCUUGAUUUGCUAACUUCAUUUGAAUGAUGAUCUUCUAAUUUGUUUAAUAAGUGCAAGAAAUAGCUUGAACG